rnacentral:rRNA from 1 species
GAUGAACGCUGGCGGCGUGCUUAACACAUGCAAGUCGAACGAAGCAUUUGCGACAGAUUUUUUCGGAAUGAAGUUGCUUAUGACUGAGUGGCGGACGGGUGAGUAACGCGUGGGUAACCUGCCUUGUACUGGGGGAUAGCAGCUGGAAACGGCUGGUAAUACCGCAUAAGCGCACAAUGUUGCAUGACAUGGUGUGAAAAACUCCGGUGGUAUAAGAUGGACCCGCGUCUGAUUAGCUAGUUGGUGAGAUAACAGCCCACCAAGGCGACGAUCAGUAGCCGACCUGAGAGGGUGACCGGCCACAUUGGGACUGAGACACGGCCCAGACUCCUACGGGAGGCAGCAGUGGGGAAUAUUGCACAAUGGAGGAAACUCUGAUGCAGCGACGCCGCGUGAGUGAAGAGGUAAUUCGUUAUGUAAAGCUCUAUCAGCAGGGAAGAUAGUGACGGUACCUGACUAAGAAGCUCCGGCUAAAUACGUG